UACGUAGGGGGCAAGCGUUGUCCGGAAUCACUGGGCGUAAAGGGCGCGUAGGUGGUCUGAUAAGGGUGUGGUGAAAGCCCGGGGCUCAACCCCGGGUCGGCCGUGCCGACUGUUGGACUAGAGUGCUGUAGGGGCAGGCGGAAUUCCGGGUGUAGCGGUGGAAUGCGUAGAGAUCCGGAGGAAGACCGGUGGCGAAGGCGGCUUCCUGGACCGACACUGACGCUGAGGCGCGAAAGCUAGGGGAGCAAACGGG
rnacentral:rRNA from 1 species